AGCGUACACGGUGGAUGCCUUGGCAAUCAGAGGCGAAGAAGGACGUGCUAAUCUGCGAAAAGCUUGGAUGAGUUGAUAAGAAGCGUUUAAUCCAAGAUAUCCGAAUGGGGAAACCCAGUAGAUGAAGAAUCUACUAUUAUUAAGUGAAUACAUAGCUUAAUAAGGCAAACCGGGAGAACUGAAACAUCUAAGUACCCCGAGGAAAAGAAAUCAACCGAGAUUCUGUAAGUAGCGGCGAGCGAAAGCGGAAGAGCCUGUUAGUGAUAAUGGUUUUGUUAGGAGAAUGAGCUGGGAAGCUCAAUCGUAGAGGGUGAUAAUCCCGUAUCCGAAAACAUUAUUAUGGUACUAAGCUAACGACAAGUAGGGCGGGACACGAGAAAUCCUGUUUGAAGAUGGGGGGACCAUCCUCCAAGGCUAAAUACUCCUGAUUGACCGAUAGUGAACCAGUACUGUGAAGGAAAGGCGAAAAGAACCCCAGUGAGGGGAGUGAAAUAGAACCUGAAACCGUGUACGUACAAGCAGUGGGAGCAAGAGAAAUCUUGUGACUGCGUACCUUUUGUAUAAUGGGUCAGCGACUUAUAUUUUGUAGCGAG
rnacentral:rRNA from 1 species